AAUAGAUACCCCGGUAGUCCUGGCCAUAAACGAUGAUCACUAGGUGUAGGAGGCUUCGACCCCUUCUGCGCCGCCGCUAACGCAUUAAGUGAUCCGCCUGGGGAGUACGGCCGCAAGGUUAAAACUCAAAGGAAUUGACGGGGGCCCGCACAAGCAGUGGAGCAUGUGGUUUAAUUCGAUGCUACGCGAAAAACCUUACCAGGGUUUGACAUCCCGGUGUAAGCCCAUAGAAAUAUGGGCCCCCUUCGGGCACCGGUGACAGGUGGUGCAUGGUUGUCGUCAGCUCGUGCCGUGAGGUGUUGGAUUAAGUUCCGCAACGAGCGCAACCCUCGUUGCUAGUUGCCAUCAUUAAGUUGGGCACUCUAGCGAGACUGCCAGCGUCAAGCUGGAGGAAGGUGGGGAUGACGUCAAAUCAUCAUGCCCCUUACAUCCUGGGCUACACACGUGCUACAAUGGCCGGUACAACGGGUUGCUACUUCGCGAGAAGAUGCGAAUCCCCAAAGCCGGUCUCAGUUCGGAUUGCAGGCUG
rnacentral:rRNA from 1 species